UACAGAGGUCCCAAGCGUUGUUCGGAUUCACUGGGCGUAAAGGGUGCGCAGGUGGUCGGGUAAGUCUGAUGUGAAAUCCCGCAGCUUAACUGCGGAAUGGCAUUGGAUACUAUUCGGCUAGAGGGUUGGAGGGGGGACUGGAAUUCUCGGUGUAGCAGUGAAAUGCGUAGAUAUCGAGAGGAACACCAGUGGCGAAGGCGAGUCCCUGGACAACUCCUGACGCUGAGGCACGAAAGCUAGGGGAGCAAACGGG
rnacentral:rRNA from 1 species